rnacentral:rRNA from 1 species
GAUGAACGCUGGCGGCGUGCCUAAUACAUGCAAGUCGAGCGAACAGACGAGGAGCUUGCUCCUCUGACGUUAGCGGCGGACGGGUGAGUAACACGUGGAUAACCUACCUAUAAGACUGGGAUAACUUCGGGAAACCGGAGCUAAUACCGGAUAAUAUAUUGAACCGCAUGGUUCAAUAGUGAAAGACGGUUUUGCUGUCACUUAUAGAUGGAUCCGCGCCGCAUUAGCUAGUUGGUAAGGUAACGGCUUACCAAGGCAACGAUGCGUAGCCGACCUGAGAGGGGGACGGGCCAAAUGGGAACUGGGACCCGGUCCAACCCCCUACGGGGGGCAGGAGUGGGAAAUUUUCCGCAAGGGGCGAAAGCCUGACGGAGAAACGCCGGGGGGGUGAGGAAGGUCUUCGGAUCGUAAAACUCUUUUAUUGGGGAAAAAAAAAUGUGUAAAUAACUAAGCCCGUCUGGAGGGUACCAAAGAAGAAAGCCCCGGCUAACUACGG